UGUUAAACCACCAUUUGCGAGGACCCGGUCGUGGCAGUCAUAUUACCGGAAGAAGUGUGCACAACCAACGGAUUGAGCGCUUUUGGUGAGAUGUUUUUGUUGGUUGUACAAGUCUUUUUUAUCAUUUAUUCUAUCAUAUGGAAAGUAAUGGAAUAUUGGAUCCAUCAAAUGAAGAACAUGUGUUUUCAUUGCAUUAUGUGUUUUGUCCAAUUAUUAACAGAAAUUUGGAAAUUUUCCAGGAAGGUUACAAUAGAUCUCCCAUAAGAACAGAAAGAAAUCUAUCACCUGAACAGCUAUGGAUCCAAGGAUCCUGCUUAGCCAAUAAUUCAAACGACCAUAUACAGCAGGUAAAUCAAGAAUUUCCACCCACCUUUACACAAAAUUACGCAUGUCAUGAAACAGAUCAGCAACAAGUGAUUGUUCCAGAAACCAACAUUCCAUUGAAUGAAAUAGAUCUUGAUGAGCUGCAAAGAACCAUUAAUCCUUUAAGGCCUCUAAUCAUAAUGGUGCUGACAUAUACAUUGAGGUGCUUCAGUUUGUAAAUACCAGACUGCACCAGGAAGACGAGUGACAUUGUGAACUUACAAAACAACAAAAGCUACUUGACCUAUUGUUGGUUGGUGUCAAUCCAGAUAAUACAAAACAAGAUAUGUAUGGCAAGGAAGGCUAUAAAUUUUUCAUUAUGUUGAUUAUUCAAACAUUUUAGCAGAAAAUGUUGUUUAGCACAUAAAUGCUGAUGCACUGCCAGAACAAAAUUUAAUGAAACAUUAACAUAUUCACUUUAAGUCUUUAACUAUAAAAAUGAUAUCCAAA